rnacentral:rRNA from 1 species
CCCUUCCGUAGGUGAACCUGCGGAAGGAUCAUUACAG